CCUACGGGGGGCAGCAGUGAGGAAUAUUGGUCAAUGGGCGCGAGCCUGAACCAGCCAAGUCGCGUGAGGGAAGACGGUCCUAUGGAUUGUAAACCUCUUUUGUCGGGGAGCAAAAGACGCCACGCGUGGCGUUCCGAGAGUACCCGAAGAAAAAGCAGCGGCUAACUCCGUGCCAGCAGCCGCGGUAAUACGGAGGAUGCGAGCGUUCUCCGGAUUUAUUGGGUUGAAAGGGAGCGUAGGUGGCUUGUUAAGUCAGUUGUGAAAGUUUGCGGCUCAACCGUAAAAUUGCAGUUGAAACUGGCAGUCUUGCGUGCAGUAGCGGUGGGCGGCAUUCGUGGUGUCGCGGUGAACUGCUUAGCUAUCACGAAGAACUCCGAUUGCGUAGGCAGCUCACUGGACUGCAACUGACACUGCUGCUCGCACGUGUGGGUAUCAAACAGGAUUAGAUACCCGGGUAGUC
rnacentral:rRNA from 1 species